rnacentral:rRNA from 1 species
AGAUGGCGACCGGCGCACGGGUGAGUAACACGUAUCCAACCUGCCGAUAACUCGGGGAUAGCCUUUCGAAAGAAAGAUUAAUACCCGAUGGUAUAAUCAGACCGCAUGGUUUGAUUAUUAAAGAAUUUCGGUUAUCGAUGGGGAUGCGUUCCAUUAGGCAGUUGGUGAGGUAACGGCUCGCCAAACCUUCGAUGGAUAGGGGUUCUGAGAGGAAGGUCCCCCACAUUGGAACUGAGACACGGUCCAA